AAGUGUAUAGACGUCUUCUCACGAAUUCAAAUCAGUGUAGUCUUGCGACACGAACAGAGUGCAUCGAACGUGAAAGUCACAAAGAGCAUACUUGGCAGUCUUUUAUUAUUAUUUUGUAAUAUUUUAUAUCGUAUUACGUGUUAUAAGUGCCAUUUUCAAAAUAGUGAACAAGACUAACAAUACUUCGCAAAUAUUUGUCCCCAAAAUGGCAAGACGUUUGAGGAGUGCGAAUGUAUUAUUAGAGAGAAUAAAUGAUAUCGAUGCAGAAUGUUCUGAAGAUGAUCAGGAAAUUCUGGAUAUGGAAAAUAACAAUACGGAAAAUUAUGAUCCACUUGAAACAGAUUCGAACACCGAUGAGAACGAA
rnacentral:lncRNA from 1 species